AUGAGCGCGAUCGGCAGCCGCAAGAAGAGCGUGAACAUGACCGAGUGCGUGCCCGUGCCCAGCUCCGAGCACGUCGCCGAGAUCGUGGGCCGCCAGGGUGAGUGGCCGCGGCCGGGCGCCGCCCCCGGAGCCCGCCCCGCCCCGCCCCGCCCCGCCCGGACCCCGCACCCCGCACCCCGCGGCCCGCGCUCCCCGCCCGGCCUCGGGGCCGCCGAGCGCCUUUGUCCCGCGCGGGCCGCGCCAGAAAGUUGGGCGCCCCCGCGCCCCCCGCGGCCUUUGUCUGCGCCGCCGCCGCCCGCGGGCCCCGACACCCGGGGGCACCCGACACCGGGGGUGGGCGCCCGGCACCCAGGGCGGGGCUGCGGGGCGGCGGGGGCGGCGGGGGCGGCGGCGAAGUUUGCUACACCGAGGGCGCUCGUCCCCACUUGCAGGCCCUGCUGGCGGGGGAGGGGGGCGCGGGCCGAGAGGAUCCCCACCCCGCUCGGAGUUGGGGCCGCGCUGGAGGACCGGCUGCACGAGCCUGCUGAGGGCCGGGCUCCGGGGCCUGCCCUGGGGGCACCGGGCCGCGGGCCGGGCCGGGGGUCCCGGCAGCAGCAUUGUCAGACGGUCCCUGUGGCCGCCCCAUUGUUCUCUUUGUUAGAGAGCCAGCCUGAGAUUUGCAGGGUGACAUCAGGCCGGCCGCCGCUCAUUGGCCCUGGAGCCGGAGCUGCGGGGCGGGCGGGCAGGAGGGUGGUGGGCAGAGCUCCCCCGGACACACGCCCACCCCCCUUUUCAGCCGGCGGCCCCAGCCCCACUUUCCCCUGCCUCCUGCCCGCACCUUUCUGUUCACCACUCCCUGCUCGCUGGCCAGGUUCUAGAACCUGGGGUGGGGACUGGGCGGGGCUUGAGGUGGAGCUGCAGGACUCUCGGGCUGGCCUUCGGGCUGGGCUCGGCUGGCGCUGGCCUUCGGGCUCAGUAACAGGAGCUGGAGACCCGGUGGGGGGUCUUGAAUUGCAAGGUGGCUUGUUACUCCUGCCGCCGGGGGUCAGAGGACCACAGGGAUGCUCCGGGCACUGGCCUCUCGGAGUUCUGGGUGGGAGGGGUGGUUGGCCAGUGAGUCCUGGGGCUUUGGGUGAAGGUGCAGCCACGGGCCCUCCCCACAGCUGGCAGCAGGAGGAGCAGGUGUGGUGCUGGGCUGAGGGACCAGGAGUUGGGAGCAGUGCCGGGGGACAGGUGGUUCCCUGGGCCCUGUCGGCUGCCUCCCAUGAGCAGGACUCCAGGCCCGACCGCCCCAUCCACCCCCUGCCCCAGUCUCUCUUAUCUGCUCCAGGACGUGUGACAGGCCCACUGCCACGUGCUGACCGUCCAUUAGCCAGUGGCACGGUGGGGGUGGGGGGGACGACAGACGCGGGAACCGGCCUGGGGGCUGUUGCCCAAAGUCACAAGGCUGAUCCACAGGCUGCUGGGGCGCGGAGCACGAGGGCGUGUUCCCUGCGAGUGUGUGUGUUCUGGAACCCCGGGAGGGCCCUCCAGAGAGGCUGA
rnacentral:lncRNA from 1 species